rnacentral:lncRNA from 1 species
UACCUUUAACGGUUGGGCCAAGGAGGAAAUUCAAGCAAGAAGCCCCUGCUGAAACGCCCUCUUCUAAUCUGUGCCGCUGUUAAACCUGUAGGACCCCUCCUGUCCUCCUCGCCAUACCGCGGCCCCACGAGAGUUUGGGUUUGAACCCCCGGUGGGUCUGGCAGAACAGGCUCCCUUAAUUUCUGGGCCCCCAGGCCCACAUCGCAACGUGGUUGCAAAAGCCCGCUGCAAACCGUUUCUUUCGUGAGAGUUCUGGGGAAGAAUCAGCAGCCGAGAUUUCAAACGCGCCCGGCGCCGCGCGGCCAGCGCGGGGCUCUGAGACGAACGCUUCCGUUGCCUCUCGCGCAGAUCGCGUCACGAUCCAUGUCAUCGGGACCGACUACAACAGCUACAUCAUUUCGCAUAUAGACAAAACAACAUUUUCCGGCAUCUACCUGUCUGGCAGGGAGAGAGAAGUGGGAAAGGACAUCAGACAGAAAUUUAUAGAGGUGGCUGGACGUCAGGGGUACCCUGAGGACACAAUCUGGAAUGCCGUGAUAGAAGCUGAACGGCCGUUGGCACUCCAUUGCCAUUGCUACCCAUGACCAGGGACGUUCAGAGAAGAUCAGGGAGAUAGAAGGACUGGACACCAUCGUGAAAGCGAUGGAUAAUGGAGAUCUGGAACUGGUCCGGCAUAUCAGCUUGGCCGACGUCUGCACGGAAGCGCAUGUGUUUCUCCACCACACCGACAAGCCUGGCGUGUUCACGACUUCCGGUAAGCGCGCAGCCAGCCAGGGAAGCCAGAACGCUGCAGUCAGGGCUAACGGCCCCGGAUAGCCCUGGUUUCCGUAAAUGCGGGAACGUAAGAAAUGCCCCGCUGGAUCAGAC